CAGUCGCCGCGGUAAUACGUAGGUGGCAAGCGUUGUCCGGAAUUAUUGGGCGUAAAGGGCUCGCAGGCGGUUUCUUAAGUCUGAUGUGAAAGCCCCCGGCUCAACCGGGGAGGGUCAUUGGAAACUGGGAAACUUGAGUGCAGAAGAGGAGAGUGGAAUUCCACGUGUAGCGAUGAAAUGCGUAGAGAUGUGGAGGAACACCAGUGGCGAAGGCGACUCUCUGGUCUGUAACUGACGCUGAGGAGCGAAAGCGUGGGGAGCGAACAGGAUUAGAGACCCCUGUAGUCCCUGUCCUUAUACA
rnacentral:rRNA from 1 species